GUCCCCAGGGGGACAGAGGCAGUGCUGCAGCUUAAAGCACAGAAUCUUACUGUUUCUUGGCCCAAGUCUGCUGCAGGACUCACGGAGGAGAGUGAAGAAACAAAGCCAUCUUUGAAAUCAAUUAUAAAGACCAAAACAAUGAUGUAAGAGAGCUUCUGUGAAGAGAGCACAAGCAGGGGGAGCAUCAGAGCGAGAGGGA